GAGUUUGAUCCUGGCUCAGGACGAACGCUGGCGGCGUGCCUAACACAUGCAAGUCGAACGGAGAUAUGAUUUCGGUUGUAUCUUAGUGGCGAACGGGUGAGUAACGCGUGAGCAACCUGACCUUCAGAGGGGGAUAACACUCGGAAACGAGUGCUAAUACCGCAUAAGACCACGACAUGACAUCAUGACGAGGUCAAAGGAGCAAUCCGCUGAGGGAGGGGCUCGCGUCCCAUUAGAUAGAUGGCGGGGUAACGGCCCACCAUGUCCGCGAUGGGUAGCCGAGCUGAGAGGCUGAUCGGCCACACUGGAACUGAGACACGGUCCAGACUCCUACGGGAGGCAGCAGUGGGGAAUAUUGGGCAAUGGGCGCAAGCCUGACCCAGCAACGCCGCGUGAGGGAAGAAGGCUUUCGGGUUGUAAACCUCUGUCCUUGGUGACGAAAAAAAUGACGGUAGCCAAGGAGGAAGCCCCGGCUAACUACGUGCCAGCAGCCGCGGUAAUACGUAGGGGGCGAGCGUUGUCCGGAAUUACUGGGCGUAAAGGGUGCGUAGGUGGCCUUUUAAGUUGGAUGUGAAAUCCCCGAGCUUAACUUGGGUGGUGCAUCUAAUACUGGAGGGCUAGAGUGCAGGAGAGGAAAGCGGAAUUCCUAGUGUAGCGGUGAAAUGCGUAGAUAUUAGGAGGAAACACCAGUGGCGAAGGCGGCUUUCUGGACUGUAACUGACACUGAGGCACGAAAGCGUGGGGAGCAA
rnacentral:rRNA from 1 species